rnacentral:rRNA from 1 species
GGGGGAAUUUUGGACAAUGGGGGCAACCCUGAUCCAGCAAUGCCGCGUGUGUGAAGAAGGCCUUCGGGUUGUAAAGCACUUUUGUCAGGAACGAAACGGGUGCGGCUAAUAUCUGCGCCUAAUGACGGUACCUGAAGAAUAAGCACCGGCUAACUACGUGCCAGCAGCCGCGGUAAUACGUAGGGUGCAAGCGUUAAUCGGAAUUACUGGGCGUAAAGCGUGCGCAGGCGGUUGUGCAAGACAGAUGUGAAAUCCCCGGGCUUAACCUGGGAAUUGCAUUUGUGACUGCACGGCUAGAGUGUGUCAGAGGGGGGUAGAAUUCCACGUGUAGCAGUGAAAUGCGUAGAUAUGUGGAGGAAUACCGAUGGGCGAAGGCAGCCCCCUGGGAUAACACUGACGCUCAUGCACGAAAGCGUGGGGAGCAAACAGGAUUAGAUACCCUGGUAGUCCACGCCCUAAACGAUGUCUACUAGUUGUCGGGUCUUAAUUGACUUGGUAACGCAGCUAACGC